UACGGAGGGGGCAAGCGUUGUCCGGAAUCAUUGGGCGUAAAGCGCGUGUAGGCGGCCAGGUAAGUCCGUUCUGAAAGCCCGGGGCUCAACCCCGGGAGGCGGAUGGAUACUGCUUGGCUCGAGUCCGGAAGAGGCGAGUGGAAUUCCCGGUGUAGCGGUGAAAUGCGCAGAUAUCGGGAGGAACACCAAUGGCGAAGGCAGCUCGCUGGGACGGUACUGACGCUGAGACGCGAAAGCGUGGGGAGCAAACAGG
rnacentral:rRNA from 1 species